UUGCUUUAAUUAUGAUUUGUACUCAGACAUUGACACAUUUUAAUCAGAAUUUGUUCAGUUUGGCCACCGGCGAGCACGGGCCAGAGGACGUCUUACGGUCCCCCGGCGGUCGUGAGACGGGCCCGCCGAAGCAACAAAGGUUCAGUAAACAUAGGGUUGGGAGGUCGGGCCGAGAAGACCCUAACUCGUUAAUGAUCCUUCCGCAGGUUCACCUAGAAAUUUCACGUUAGCAUAUGUUGACCCAGGAGGAAAAGGACACGACCACUACUUACCUACGGAAA
rnacentral:misc_RNA from 1 species